CUUUUGCAGCUCCCCGACAGGCAUUGGGCACAUUUCGUUUCCCCCAAACGGUCACUCUAGCGGCCACCUUCGAAACAACAACAUCACGCGUCGCGUCUCUCCGUCUUUUUCCUUUUUUUUUACAUUAGACUACACUACGUUCUCCUGGCGUUUCGUUCGUGUCGCGCGUGAUUAAAUUGGCAACUGAGAACAAUAAGAAGAAAUCACAGUGUGCGAGCAACAAACACAACAAUUAGUGUAAACAAAACACCCCGACAACAACAAUCCAAAUUGCAAAAAAGGCAACAAAGAAGAAACGAAAGGCAGGACCUUCGCAGCAAGAGCGAGACAGCAAAGGAUCGGGAUCGGGAGAGAGCGUGAGAGUGCGAGUUGAUCAACGGGAUACAGGGUGACAUGUGGAGUCCGACGCACUGUAGUGUAACGGUGCAGCGAGCGCGUGGGCUGCUCACCAAGGGCAAGAAUGGCACCAACAACUGUUUCGUCACCAUUGCUCUGGGCAAGGAGAAGUACCAGACGUCCGUCAAGGACAAGGCCGAGACGAGCGUCAACUGGAACGAGGAGUGCGAACUGAAAAUUCCCGAUCAGGGUAAUCGCGCCGAGCUCACUUUGACCUGCCUGCACAGGAACAAUCUGGGCAUCGAUGAGUUCCUCGGUCAGGCGACGCUGCCGCUCAACGAGAUGGAUGUGUACGACCGGCCACGCGCCAAGUGGUUCAAGCUGGAGAGCAAGCCCGGCAAGGAGAAGAAGAACAAGGAGCGCGGCGAGCUGGAGGUGCGCAUCGCCUUCGUGGUCAAGUCCGGCUCGCUGACCGAUCUCAGCAAGAAGGACAAGCACAAGUCUUCCAUUGGCCAGCUGGCCAGCUCAGUCGGUGGCAGUCUGUUGUCCAUCGGCAACGGCGAGAAACGGCGCGGCAUCAAGAAGCUGGCUGGCUCGCUUAGCUCCAAGCUGCACAUUCGCAGCAAGAAGAAGAACCAGGAGGCGGGCGCCGACGAUAGCAGCUCCUUCGGCGGCUCCUUCGCCAGCCUGGGCACGCCCAACAGCUCCAACGGCAGGGGCCAGAAUGGUGGCAGUGGCCGGCGACGUGGCGGCCAGCGGGCGGGCGAAGCCGAUCCCGGCGUGAUCAGCGAGGACGAGGACGAGUUUGUGUUCGACAACCUCUCGCACAAGAGCUCCGGCAGCUCACUUAACAUCCAACGUAGCGGGCUGCAGCCGCCGCCAGUCGGUACGCCCAACUUUACGCCGCGUCACCCAUCGCCCCUGCUGAACAACGGAGUUAGUGGCGUCGGAAGCGGCAGCGCGAAAGGUAAGCAAGCGGUAUUGCCAGCGACGCUCGAUGAGGAUGCGUCCAUUGACGCGGAGAUGGAACAGCUUGAGCUAGAUUUCAGUGUUCGUGCCCACGCCCGCGCCAACGCUAACGCCAGCGCCAGCGCCAGCGGCAAUGCCAGCACCCUGCCGCCUCCCUCGAAACCACCGCGCAUUCCCCUGUCGCAGGUGGACGAGCAGCCGGCUGCUGGGAGUCUGGAGCGGGAAAAGCCAAAGGAGAAGCCAGCCGAGGUGGAAAGCGACAAGGACGAGUGGGCGUCAAAGUUGUAUGGCGGUGGAAAGUACCUGGAGAUCGGUAGCAGUAACUCAUUGAAACGCCGCAGCUGGGAGGACCGAGUUCCACUCCCCGCCAGUGUCGAGGAGCCGCCGACAUUGCACUCGUCCAGUUCGUCGUCCAGUUCGGAUAGCGAUGACGACGACGAGAAUCCGCCGCAGGCAGCUCCCCCACCAGUACCCGUGCCGGCUUCUCUACCAGUUCCAUCUGCUGCUGCUGCUGCUGCUACUGUUACUGCUUCUGCUGAGCCAGUGGUGGCUACUUCAUCGUCGCUCUUCUCCCCCGACGUGGAGCACCGCAACUUUGAUACCUUCAACGCUAGUUUCGCCAAGUACGAGCAGCGAAACAGCACUGCUAUUUUUGCAGAUGAGCCCGAGUUGGAAGACCUAACAGUGGAGCUUGAGAAGCCGGCGCCCACUCCCACAGCACGCCCCAAACCGCAGCCACGUGCUACGGCCGAUCUGAGGGCGGAGGAGGAGAAGGCUAAGGAAGAGGCUGCACGGCAACUGCGUGCCGAGGAGGAUGCCCGCUUGGAGGCGGAGCUGCGUCUGAAUGAGGAGCGCCUACGCGAAGAAGAGGAGGCUAUGCAGCGAGAGCUGGAGGAAGAGAAGGAGCGCCAAAAGCAGCUGCAGAUGGAUGAGCAGCAGCGGCGUGAGGCCAAGCGCUGGGAAGAAGACCAACGGCUUUUGAGCUUUGCCAAGCGAUCCACAUCCCUCGAGGAGCCAGUCCCAGAGAAGCAGGAGCUUAAGCAUGCGAGGGAGCUCGUGGCCAAGCAGGAGCCGGAGGAAACGCUGGAUACGGCAGAGCCAGAGCCGGAGCACAACUUCCUAACGCCCGAACAGUCGCCCAAGGAGUUCCAGACGAAUGGCAGUGGCAGAGGCAGCGGGGAUCGCUGGGAGAAACGACUGGGCAAAUUCAAAUACGGCAACAAGCGAGAUAAAUACAACAACGACAACGACAGCAACUCGCCCAGUCCCAAGUCCACGGAGCGCAUCAUAAUUGGUCACGAGAAGUCGGGAUCGCAUGCGGAUCGCCGCUCGGAGAUAUCCGCCCAGCUGGCCAAGAAAUACGAGGGCAAGUCGCGCGAGGAACUUAUGCUAAUUGCCAACGGAAUGGAGAACGAGGCUCUGCUGCAGCGGCAGCGCGUGAAGGAGCUGGAGGACUAUCUGGACAACCUGCUGCUGCGCGUGAUGGAGACGCACCCGAAGAUCCUGCAGAAUCCCUAUUCGCGCACCACGUCCGCCAAGAGUUAUAAAAAUUACAUCAAUAUGAAUGACUUUCUAAAGUAAGUGCUGCGCAUGCUGCAAGUUGCAUUUAAGUAGACACUUAACCAACAAUCCCCAACAACAACAACAUCACCACCAACAACACCACAACCCCCAACAAGAACAACAACGACAACCAGAACUGCGAGACACGAGUAACAAGAACUAUAAACACCGCCGGCCGAGAAAGAAGUGAAGGAACCACUGAGGCGGGAUCGAACGGCUAAACAAACAGCCAAACAACCGGUUCACUUGUCGCAGAGCAGCUGGAGAAGAUCUGCGGAGGCUGCUCCGGAAGCUGUUGAGUCGAAACGAAUCGAAACACCACGUUGCCUUUGCCGCGAGCAGCAAAAUUCAAGUGCUUUCUAAAACGUAUUGCUAAGAGGGAAACUAAGUGUACGCGUAAAACAGUUAGGCUUAAGGAGUGCAAAAUCUAUAUUGAUAUUUUAUUGUGUGUAGCAUUCGUACUUUUUCAUUUAGAAAUCCCCCCCCCACACACACACACACUAAACAGAACUAAAUUAAUUGUACUAUAUGUUUAUCCUGGCAAUUGACGCUAUUUGCUUGUCAAUUGAUUGAAAUUAUUCGAAAGUAUUGUGUUUGUUUUUUUUGUAUGACCCACUUUUUUUUGUAGUGUUGUGCGACAAGAGUUUGAGAAGUUUUUGUAAAGUGCUGCCUGGGAAGUGGCCUUAGUGAAUUAAGAGAAUUAAAUUAUUUAUGUUUUAGCGAUUAAGCGAAAAGUGGGAAAGGGGGACCACCCACGUAUGUCCCCCGCGAAAAAAAACACCACACACAGUUGAAAUAUGUUGAUACUACAAUGAUUUUACUUAUUGAUAUAAACGCAAGCAGAAUAAAACAUUUUUAACAUAAAUAA